AGAGUUUGAUCCUGGCUCAGGAUGAACGCUGGCGGCGUGCUUAACACAUGCAAGUCGAGCGAAGCACUCCACCGGAUUUCUUCGGAAGGAAGGUGGUUUGACUGAGCGGCGGACGGGUGAGUAACGCGUGGGUAACCUGCCUUACACAGGGGGAUAACAGUUAGAAAUGACUGCUAAUACCGCAUAACCCGCUAGGGCCGCAUGGCCCGGACGGAAAAGAUUUUAUCGGUGUAAGAUGGACCCGCGUCUGAUUAGCUGGUUGGUGAGGUAACGGCCCACCAAGGCGACGAUCAGUAGCCGACCUGAGAGGGUGAUCGGCCACAUUGGGACUGAGACACGGCCCAAACUCCUACGGGAGGCAGCAGUGGGGAAUAUUGCACAAUGGGGGAAACCCUGAUGCAGCAACGCCGCGUGAGUGAAGAAGUAUUUCGGUAUGUAAAGCUCUAUCAGCAGGGAAGAAAAUGACAGUACCUGACUAAGAAGCCCCGGCUAACUACGUG
rnacentral:rRNA from 1 species